AUUGAACGCUGGCGGCAGGCCUAACACAUGCAAGUCGAACGGUAACAAGAAGCAGCUUGCUGCUUUGCUGACGAGUGGCGGACGGGUGAGUAAUGUCUGGGAAACUGCCUGAUGGAGGGGGAUAACUACUGGAAACGGUAGCUAAUACCGCAUAACGUCGCAAGACCAAAGAGGGGGACCUUCGGGCCUCUUGCCAUCGGAUGUGCCCAGAUGGGAUUAGCUAGUAGGUGGGGUAACGGCUCACCUAGGCGACGAUCCCUAGCUGGUCUGAGAGGAUGACCAGCCACACUGGAACUGAGACACGGUCCAGACUCCUACGGGAGGCAGCAGUGGGGAAUAUUGCACAAUGGGCGCAAGCCUGAUGCAGCCAUGCCGCGUGUAUGAAGAAGGCCUUCGGGUUGUAAAGUACUUUCAGCGGGGAGGAAGGGAGUAAAGUUAAUACCUUUGCUCAUUGACGUUACCCGCAGAAGAAGCACCGGCUAACUCCGUG
rnacentral:rRNA from 1 species